CUUUCCUGAGAAACCGAACAGCAUUGC
rnacentral:piRNA from 1 species